AGCUGCAUCCUAUAGUGGUAAUAGGGCGGUCUUAUGAGCCGUUAACCUGGGUUCGAUUCCCAGUGUAGCUA
rnacentral:tRNA from 1 species